rnacentral:sRNA from 1 species
CGCAGGGGCCACCCGAACAGUCUGUCCUCCUCACAGAAGCCUGGAGCUGGGCAUCCAGGAAGAAGCAGCCUCAUUUGUUUUCUGGUGUCAUCGUAGGUGGCCACCUAUGGCUUUUGGGGUAUUUAUUUUCUUAUUUAUUGUUUCUGAUGGUGGAGUGGGUGGGGGAAGAAAAGGAAAACUGGCCCUGUCUCACUUAUGUUUUCUCCUGUUCUCUGUACCCCUCUACCCCCUCCCUGUCUCUUCCAGCUUUCGGCCCCUGAUUUUGGUCUACUCCAAUUGUAGAAAGACCUACAUAGUCAAUGAUAGGCCACCCUGCUUCCAGUUCUGUGAUAGAGAGGAAAGGCAUUGGGGAUACAGGGAACUCUUUCCCCUUCUCCCAUGGGCUCCUGAGGGCAGAGUUGGAGGCCACUUGACCUUGGGGGAGAUGAUUGGUUGGAGAAGGGAACAGAGAUACUUGUACGUGGGUGACAGAGGUGAGAAAGAAGAGGAGCAUGGGUUAUGGUAAAUGGGGACCCAAGGAGCUUAAAUAACUGUGAGUGGGUAUGUAUACAGCUGCAAGCAUUGGGAGGUGGUACUGCUGGGAGUAUCUGUGGAUUUGUCAUUGCAUUGGUCUGAGUUGAUAAGUUUGAGUAUGUGUGCGUGUGUGUGUGUGCGCGUGCGCUUGUGUGUAUGUGUGUGUGCGUGUGUGUAUGUGUAUGUGUGUGCAUGUGUGUGUGUGUGUGUGAUGCGCAGCACCCUUGCAUACUCAUGCUUAUGCCCCUUAAGGAGGCCAUUUGCUGAUGGUUGAGGGUCUUGUAGAAAGGACUCAGUCUGGAUGAGCCAGCCAACCCUCUACCAUCUCUGCCACCUUGUUCUUACCUCCCAGACACAUAAGCUUCUCAGGCAAGUGAGCAACGUGUGGGCUCAAGAAUAGAACUGGGAGCAGGCAAGGGAGGCAGUACUUACACAGGCCCAAGGAAUUAUCAAGCUGGCCCCUCAAUAGAAGGAACAUACCACUCUCGUGGGGAAGAAGUGUGACACCCUUAGGGACGAUAUCCUCCAGAUUAUUUCUCCAUACCUCCUACCUUUUCUGCC